rnacentral:rRNA from 1 species
UUGGAGGGCAAGUCUGGUGCCAGCAGCCGCGGUAAUUCCAGCUCCAAUAGCGUAUAUUAAAGUUGUUGCAGUUAAAAAGCUCGUAGUUGAAUUUCGGGAUCAGUUGAUCGGUCGUGCCUCGGUACGUACUGGUCAAAUUGAUUCCUACCUUCUGACGAACCACGAUGUCAUUAAUUUGGUGUCGUGGGAAAUCAGGACUGUUACUUUGAAAAAAUUAGAGUGUUUAAAGCAGGCUCGCGCUUGAAUACAUUAGCAUGGAAUAAUGAAAUAGGACGUUUGAUUCUAUUUUGUUGGUUUCUAGGAUCGACGUAAUGAUUAAUAGGGAUAGUUGGGGGCAUUAGUAUUCAAUUGUCAGAGGUGAAAUUCUUGGAUUUAUUGAAGACUAACUACUGCGAAAGCAUUUGCCAAGGAUGUUUUCAUUAAUCAAGAACGAAAGUUAGGGGAUCGAAGACGAUCAGAUACCGUCGUAGACUUAACCAUAAACUAUGCCGACUAGGGAUCGGAUGAUGUUAAUUUUUUAAUGACUCAUUCGGCGCCUUACGGGAAAC